rnacentral:lncRNA from 1 species
AAAUAAAUAUUAAACUUCAUAUUGAACUAAAAUUAAAAAAUUAAAAAAACCCAUAAGUUUGAUAAUUCAAUAGAAACUAUAAAAAUAGAAUAUAACCGAAAUUAAAUUUUUGCUUUGAGAAUGUUUUCCAAUAUAGGUUAUUCGCAAGAAAUAACUUAAGAUAUGCAUAUACAUAUCCAUAUAUAUUGUACACACGGAAUAAUUUAUAAAUAAAAUAACUUUUCAUAUAAAUAAUGAAAACUGAAUAAACUGUAAAUUAUAUAAAAGAGAGCCCCUGCGUUAUAUGCAACAUAAUCUGCGUAAUUGUGAACAUGAUUGCAGCGACAUAGAGCCUAAUUGAAUGAAUUAAUCCUAUUCCAUAUAUUCUAAAUUAUCUAUCUAAAUAAAUCCAAUCUAUUGAAACUUCGAAUUCUAUAUUUUCAAUGAAUAAUCAGAUCGAAAUGAUCAGAUUGAAUCAAUCAUUAAUUUAUAUUUAUCAUAUUAUUAAUGCAAUAUCAAUAUAAACAAAAAAAAUAAACCAAAAGACUCUAACCUGUUUUCACCGUAUAUGUUAACGAGGAUGGAAGAUAUUAUCGGUUCACAUACGUCUUUCGAUGGAGCGCGAUUUACAAGGCAAAAGUUAGAAAGCAUGGCUCCGUCUGUUUCCGAAACAUUGAGAUUUCUAAAGAUAAAGAUACAUUUGAACAUGUACUGCGCAUUUUCCUUAACUUUUGAUUUCAUGUGACUUCAAAACUUGAUUAAUGUGUUAUUCUACCGUGUAAUUGUACUGGCAAGAGAGAUUUAUUGACUCUUAUUUGACAGCAAAUCAAAUAUAAAUAUGAAAAUAUCUCUACAAUAUGAUGAUUUUAUUUUACAAUAUUUUAUAAUUGUUAAUACAUAUAAUUGUUAAAAAUAGACUUCCUAAAAAGAAUCAUAUGUGUACAUGAACGUAAUCUAAUCUAACAAUAUGAUACAAUACAAGAGAAUCAUUAUUCCAAAGUGCGAAACAACAUGGUAGACAGUUAGUUUUUAAUCAAGAAGGAAAUAUACGGUAUUAUAUACGUGGUAGUAGAAAAAUCAUGGCAGUGAAAGGACAGUGUAUAAGUAAAGUGACGAGAAGAAGCGUCGAGUCGUGUGUGAGAUCCGCAGGAACACGAGAUAACGGUGUGUAAUGAGGACAUUCUUGAAAGCACUUGAAAUGCAAUCUCUGCACAGCCGACAAAUUGUCUGAGAACAGUGUCGUUCUCAGAGCUGGGCCAGAGGCUGCCAUCAGCCGUAAUUAAUUGUAAUUACGGAUAAUUAGCAGGAUCCCUAACUCUUAUUUCAAAAUCAUCAUGGUUUGAUAAAAACUAUUAAACUAAAAGGAAAGUUUCCAGGAAAGACAAUAAAAAAACAAAAUCAUGAAAGUCAUAUAAAAAAUGUUUCCCUAAGAAGGAAAAAAAUCCAAGAAAGUAAAGGAAUGUUCCAAAGCUAUAAAGCUUUGGUAGUUGAAGAGAAGAAACUUCUCUCAAAUGUAUUCUUCAUCGACCAUUCCAGACUAACUAAUGUCGAACACCUGCAGCCGUUCCAUUGAAAUGCUCCCGCCAAACGCUCGAUCGAUGGAACCUCGAUGAAUUCAUAUCACUUCCCGUCAGAACGGAAACGCCGUGGAUGGAAUAACUGAACGAUUGGAAACGCGUCUACGCUUGUAAGCGAUCGUUUCCUUGCAACUAGGCGGGGCAUCCUCAUCGAUGCAUCCCCGUGCCAAAAAGAUGCGUGUCUUCAAUGUUUAACGAUGGAAUCAACGGAGUGAAUUCAGAUCGCCACGACACGGCUAUCAUUCUAAAUUGAACGCUUUUUCCCUUUUGCGUUCUCUCUUGGCAACCGGUCUUGAUCGGAUCGCCAUGGUUCCACGAGCCAAUUUACCAGGCAACAGGUGAUGAGUUAACACGAUGCACGGUCUAGAAUGAUAGGGUUUAAUGUAAUGGAACUUGACCUGAACUGGUUGCCAAGAGAAACGAUACGAUGGCGAGAAGAGAAAAUAGUUUGAUCAGACAAAUGAUUAAGUAAAUGAUAUCAAAUGAUAUAAAAAAUAAUAUCAAAAAUGAUAUCAAAAAAUAAUCCUUGGCAACUGGAUAAAGAUAUUUUUUUUUAUUCAGUUCAUUGACAUCAAGAUGAUCUUUCUUUUAAUUGAAAAUAAAUAAGAAUCUUUAAAAGUCGAGUACUCAUUGAAUGAUUUAAUUGAAGUACACAAAAAAUCACUUGACCAUUGAAAGAUCAUCGUUUAAACAAUGCCAAUCAAAUCUCAGCGAGAAAGUUCACAAUAAUAACGCAAAAAUAUUGCUAUUUAAAUUUAACCGGCCAAGCAUCUCAAGAAAACCACGUUGAAAGAGCAAGUAGAACGUCCAAGUACAAUAAUCUUCUUAAGACGAAUUUGAUGAAUAAUUAAGAGAACAUUCCAAGAGAAGAGAAGAAAGAGAGUAUAAGGACAACUGUUGAAAUGGACUGAGAGAAACUGAUCGAGUUUCGAUUUUCAUGGGAUCUGGUUAAGUAAAAAUUCAUCGGUUGGACUGAUUUUCUUGUUGUUGGCAUGCCGUCCGAUAAGCAUGGUGUUAAGGUUACCUAAGCACUUUCUAUGCCAGUCGAUGGUCGCUCGCUUUGAACGAGCCUCGAUUCGGAAUGGAAAUUAUGUCGUCGGUCGUUGUUACGUGGAAUGUCGUUCUCCGAUAAUGAGGGACACCACCAAGGAUACGUGCUUGCUUAAACCACUGUUGUUUGACUUCAUUCACGAGAAGCUUGUACACCAUGCCCACUUUUAUUGAAUUAUUAAUGUGAUCCCAAGAUUUGAUAAUAAUACAUACUUAAUGAGGUCACUGGUACAUAAUAGUAUUAGAUGUUUAUUAUAAUUCAUUCACAAGAAGUUUGUAUCAUUUUGAUAUGAAAUACCCUAUUAAGCAAAAAGGAAUUUUUAUUGUACAAGUAUUAUUGACAAAAAAAUCUAUUGAAACACGGAAUGAUUAGAUUUAUUUUUAUAUUUCUAUUAUAAUAUUGCUAAAAGAAAGAAAAAAGAUCUUAUCUCAAGAGAGUUGAGCUACUAUCAAAAUCAAAAAAUGAAUCAAAGUAAUUUAAACAAGAAGAAGAAAUAAGAAGAGAAAUAUCUUUGAAGAUGAGCGUAAGAUCGAUUGAAGAUAGCGGUUCACUCAUGGAAAGAAACGUUAAUCUAUGUCCAACAUACUCCAGGAGCCGGAAUUAGUUUACCAGCCGGACAAUCGCGCAUUAAUCUUCUGUUGCAUUCGAAGAGAAAGAGAGAGAGAAAGAGAGAAGAGGCUCUUCUUAUUAGGGAGAAACGGGAGUAUUGUGAGAAUCUAGCUUUUGGAACCAUCCUAUCUGAGCAACAAUGGAUCUGCCUGCUAGAAGAAUUACGAGUGAAAGAGGACUUAAAUCUAACUGCAUAAAAGAUCUUCGACGUGCACAAUUUAUGAUUCACAGGAAAUAAUUUUGGUAUCAGAUCUUAAGAGUACAUUAUUAGGUUUGAUAUAAUAAUUUUGAUAUCAAAUAUCUCUCUAAUAUUAAACUUUAAAAAUUUACCAUUUCAUUUUUUAUCAUUUUACUCAAGCUAAUUUAUCUAAGAGCUAGAAAAUCUCUGACAUAUCUCUAAUAAUUUGUAGAAUUUAUUAUUUUUAUAAUUGUUUCCUAUUAAAAGAUUUUUAUAAUCUCUUAGAUAUUUGAAAGGUUGUUUUAUUAUAAAAUUAUUAUUUCAAUACUACGCAACAACUGAAGGUUCGACUAGAAAUAGAAAAUUAUGCAUUGAGCAAGUAAUUUUCAAGAAGUUCUUGAAAAUUAGAAUUACAAAGAGUUUCUUAUCGUCGAUAAAUGUAGUUAGAUUAAUACGAAGAUUAAUACGGUAUGAAAUAUAAUUAACUAGAAAAUUAAUUUGAUAAAAUGAUUUUUCUUCAAUAAAUGAAAAAGAUGAACAUGACAAAGAAGAACUAACCGCUUUAUAUGCCGAGUAAUUAAGCAUGCUGACACGAUUCCAAAGGUACUUCCAGCUAAGAAAAAAACUAAGAUGAAGGAAACGAUACCAGAUAAGGCACAAUCACGACGCCCAUACUCUGACUCACGUAACCUUCUUGCACGGCUAUUGAAAGAGGACGAACACGAUAAACUGGAUAAAUGGUAAAAGAUUGAUAUAAGAUCAAUUACAAUCUAAAAUCUAAAAUUGAAAUAAAAAUAUGAUAAAUAAUCUAUCGAUUUGCAAGAGUAAUCUAUAAGAAGAAUGAAAAUAAAGUUGAUGCAACAAGGUUCUAAUAAUCUCUUAAGGAAAUCGUUUCCGAUUAAAAGGAAAUGCUACCUCCCACAUGUAUAAAAUUGCAUGUCACACGUGACUGCGUUCCACGGACACAUAGGGCGCAACAUCCUGAGGGCAAUCGGAGAUCAUUCCAUCAGUGCAUGCGUAGGAAGUUAUUCCACUUGUCCAACAGUAUCGAACGAUACCUACUUUUACCUCCGGUUGACCUUCGCGUUGCGACUUACUUUUCUCAAGCUUGACUGGUCAGAGAUCUUGUCGAAAACAUACGAGUUGAGUACCUGUAAGAUUCUACUAGUACCUAGCUAAGUGUCUGAAAUAUUUCAAUGUUGUUUCUAUUCCAAUAUUGUGAUGUACUGAGAAGAAUUUGAAGUAAUUGAAAAAUCUUAACAUCAGAUAAUAAUAAUUCUGAUAUAUCUAAAAAUAUUGAGGAUUUAAAUUCUUGAAAUGUUCCAAAUAAUCAGAUGAAAAUAUGGAUUCAAGAAAUAAAUAUUUGAAAUACUAAAACUAAUUAUUUAAGGAUUUAAAGUACAAAAUUAUAUUAUCAAUGUAUUUAAAUAUUUAGGAAUAUGAAUAAAGUAAAAGCUAAUAAAAUUUGGUAUGUACAAAAGAUUCUUAAUAUCCUAACGUAAAUAGAACUGUUUAAUAUAUCUAAAGUAUCCUCCUCAAAAUAUGUAAAGCAUUCCAAAUACUUGACAUCAAAGCGUUCGUAAUUCAUAUUUAUAUUCAUAAAUUCAUAUGAUGAGAUGACAAAAGAUAAAAAACUUAAUUUACAACUGUUGACCAUUUCUCUUUAUGACGGAUUAGAUUGAACUAUACAGUCAAAU